rnacentral:lncRNA from 1 species
AGAAUGACUUUUUACAUAGACGACGAUAACUUUUAUCGGUGUGGCGUGUGGGUACUGGCUACUGGAGCGGCUGGGUAUUCAUUGGAAUUCAUCGAUCUAAUGAUUCUAAUAAGAAAAAAAAACCAUGCCUCCAGUGUCACAACUGAUGAUUCCUUUACCCAUCAAAUGCCAGAUUGGCAGAUAGUUCAAUAUGUGGGUGCUGAAUGAACUGAUUACAUUUAUCAUCAGACAUUGCUCCCUUUCAGAAAAUUAUGUCUUGAAGAUGACGACAAGUUGCCAGUUGAUUUACAUGUCACCCAUAAUGAUAUCCUAGCACACCAUACUUUAUUCGGCAUGCAAAAAAAACUUUCCCUUCUAGCUUUCCCUCAUUUAAAGGCCUUGAUGUUAUGGUUAGCGAAAUUUUAUCAACAAAGAUAAAUUAAAGCUGCAGCUUUGGAAAAUGGAAUUGACAAUUAACUUUACAAUAGACAUACUACAGUUUCAGAACAGUUAGGCCCGCAUGAAGAUGACAAGUUGCCAGUCGAUUGACAUGUCACCUUUACUGAUAUCCUAACACACCAUACUUUAUUCGGCAUAAAAAAAAGGUUUCCCUUCUGGGUUUCCCUCAUUUAAAAGGCCUUGAUGAUGUAAUGGUGCUAUGCCAAAAUUUUAUCAACGUAGAGAAAUUAAAGCUGCAGCUGUGGGAAAUGGAAUUGACAAUUACAUUCAUCACAGACACAUUUCAGUUUCAGAAAGUGGAGUUUUGUCUUGAAGAUGACAAAAGUUGCCCGUUGAUUUACAUGUCACCUUAAGUGAUAUCAUAGCAGGAGCUUAUCAUUUAGAUAGCGAAAAUUUUGUCUUGAAGAUGACAAGUUGCCAGUCGAUUUACAUAACACCCUAAGUGACAUCAUAACAGGAACUUUUCAUUUUGGUUUUUUUGAUAUUUUUAGGUACUCUAAAGCAAGAGCCUUGACAUGCAAAACUAUAUUUCAUUCUGGCCCAACAAUAAAUAGUGGGAAAACUUAUCAUGUUCUUGAAAGGUUUUGUAAUUCAAAUCAGGAGUGUAUUGUAGUCCCUAAAUUUUUUAAUUCAAAAUCAGGAGCUUAUUAUGGUCCCUUAAAAUUUUUUACAUCUGAAGUGUAUUGCAAAUGCAAUCAGCGUGGUUGUCCAUGUGAUUUAGUAACUGGGGAAGACAGAAAUUUUGCCAAUGAUAUUUAUAAAUCCCCUUCUUCCCAUGUAUCCUGCACUGUUGAAAUGAUCUCAGUGAACACUCCAUAAGAAAUAUGUAUUAUUUGCAAAUAUAAUUAAAUUAUUUAUUUCCCCCGCCUGA